UCACUGCUUACGCAGGCAGUCUCUUUAGAGUCCCCAGCAUAACCUGUUGGCAACUAAAGAUAGGGGUUGCGUUCGUUGCGGGACUUAACCCAACACCUCACGGCACGAACUGACGACAGCCAUGCAGCACCUUGUUUUGUGCCCUUGCGGGAAAUCCCGUUUCCGGGACGGUCACUAACAUUCAAGUCCAGGUAAGGUUCCUCGCGUAUCAUCGAAUUAAACCACAUGCUCCUCCGCUUGUGCGGGCCCCCGUCAAUUCCUUUGAGUUUCAACCUUGCGGUCGUACUCCCCAGGUGGAUAACUUAACGCUUUCGCUUAGCCGCUGACUGUAUAUCGCCAACAGCGAGUUAUCAACGUUUAGGGCGUGGACUAC
rnacentral:misc_RNA from 1 species